rnacentral:lncRNA from 1 species
UUAUGAACGUUGUCCUUAAAAUAGCAUCUAUUAAUGGCACUUGAAAGUCACAGUUGAUAACUAAAAUGGAAUUCAAGGAUGUUAACUGAACAUUGCUGCAAUACCCUGAAAAAUGCAAAUCAAUAUUAGCGCCUUGUUUCAAGAUUAUGUAUAGUACAUCAGGGUUCUUUGGUAGUUUCAUGAUCAAGGUUGAUGUGAAUUAAGGUCUCAAAUACAUCCUAGCUAUUAGGUGAAUCAAAACAUUCCUUACUGAUUGAAUUCUUGAGAAGGAUAUUGGUAUAGUCAACUUCAAACGAGCAUAUCUCUUGUUAUACUACGAAUUUU